UGGGGAGAUACUAGAACAACAAUUGGAGGAUAGUAAUUUAAUAUGUAUUAACGACGGGAGAGGGACAAGGAUAGAUGUACACACAGGUAACACUUCAGCACUGGAUUUGACACUGGUAUCAAGUGAGGUGGCAUGGACAUGUGAGUGGGAAGUAUGGGAAGACUCAACAAUUGGAAGUGACCACUACCUUAUAUUCAGUAAUAUACACAUAGGCUGGGAAGUAGAAGAAAGAGAAGUCAAAUCUGUUAGAUGAGAAAAGAAGGAAGCGUGAAUCCUUCAGUAUUAUAACCAGAAGAGGAAGGACGGACUUUAAUCGAUGAUUCACAGCCCAAAACUCAAACUCUCUGAGUCUGAUUAUCAGGAGAAGACGUUUAAAAGAACAAGUCUGGUGAUAUUUUAUAUAUUUUUCUUCUUGUUGAUAUAAACAUAUUGUGUGUGCAUCCACAGCCUGACACAUCUCAUGUGUUUGUGCCAUAGAGCUCCAUCCGCCGCUGGAAAUAGUCCCCAACAAAUGCACUGUUUCCUCCUGUGAGCGGCUGUUUCAGGAAGCUCCACUCCACAGGACAACGUGCUGAGUUUCACGUUAUAACGUGAUACAGAUCUUCCCAUUCUAGAGUCAAGAAAACUGUGAUUCAUACAAUUUAGAUCAAACACACUAGUGGAAACAUCACUAGGAUUAUUUUAUAUUUAAUUCAAAAGAUGGAUCCUUUCACCUGAGUCUUACACACUGCAGCUUUAAAUGGUCUGUGAGCAACUCUCAUAUCUACUGUAAAGAGAGAGAGGAGGAGCCUGAGAACAGGGAAGUGUCAGACUCCAUUUUCACUGGGAUGAGCAGAAGGAAGAAAAGUGAGCAGACUGAAGAUGAGUGGUUAUGAGGAGGAAGAGGAGGACAGAGCAGAGUCUCCAGUGUUCAGCUGUUUGUCUCUGAAGAGUGACCGGUCCAUGGAUCCUCCUCUAACCUUCAGUAAUGAACCUGGACCCUCACACACAAAAGGUCAGGACCACAGACUGAGAGCAGAGUCUCCAGGGUCCAGCUGUGUGUCUCUGAAGAGUGACUGGUCCAUGGAUCCUCCUCUAAAAUUCAGAAAUGAACCUGGACCCUCACACACAGAGUAAGAGACUGUUUCUACUGUGACCUGCUCUGAAGAGGAUUUAGUUUCCUCUAGUGUGGCCCCUGCAUUAGGACACAGCUUCAUUGAAGUUGGUG